rnacentral:ncRNA from 2 species
UUACAUGACUCGGGGUGCCCUGGUUUCAACCACAGGGCUGAGAAAUACCCGCAUUACCUGAUCUGGAUUAUGCCAGCGUAGGGAAGUCACGGUAUGCCGAC